GCCGGUAUCGCUCAGUUGGUAGAGCAGGGGACUCAAAAUCUUCGUGUCACCGGUUCAAAUCUGCUAUUGACA
rnacentral:tRNA from 1 species